rnacentral:lncRNA from 1 species
GUUUCCACCAUCUGCACAUUUAUUGAACAUGCUCAAUGCUCCAUCAUUGUCUCAUAACAACUGCCUGUACAAGAAAAGCCACCAACUCCAGUAUGUGACUUUGCUGAUGGUUUAUUACCUUAAGGAAAAGACUUACACAGAGAAAUUGAGCAAUGAAAACCCUUCACAUUGAGCAAACACAUUCCACGCUACACAAAUCAUGAGAAAAAUGAGAACUGUUGUGAAACAUGACAGAUUGCCCAAGUGUUAUUUUUCCUCUAUUGGAAAAUUCUAAGACGUUUCCUCAUGUGUAGUUUUUCAGUCACAAAAAUGGCAGUAGGAAUAUUUAAAUAUUAAAUCACAGUUUGAAAAUAGAUACAUACAUACAUAUAUAUACACACACAGGGAUACAUAGUUGACUUAUGAUUCCCAGAUAUGCAGGGUUAUCAUUGUGACUGCUUUGGAUCAAGACAAGUUUGUAAAAAGCAGCGACAUAGUUCAACAUAAUAGUCAGGAGCUAGAUUACUUCCCUGUAAUUGCUAUGCACACACAGUACAAGGCUAGCGAGAUUAUAGACAAUCAUGUCAUUCGAAUCUACUAUCUUUGAUAAUUCUGAAUCAUUUUCAAAGUUAAAAUUGCAGCUAUUGUCAGUAAAGCGCCUCUUAUAAAGGUCAUGCCUUUUGAUUUGGGGGACAGAAUAACUAGGCGUAGCACAAGAAGAGAUGGCUCAGGUAUCAGACUAUCCUGGGUUUCCAGUCUUGGUCUGCUGUUCACUAGCUGGUAAGACCUUGAGUACACGACUAAACUUCUGUGAGACUCAGAUGAUAAUGCCAUAUUCUAUAGGUUUGCUGUGAGGAUUAAAUGAGAUAUGGCAGGAAAGCACCUUCCACAAGGCUUGGUGUAUGCUAAGCGCUCAAAAAAUGCUUAUGAUAAGGUUUAGCAAGAUUUAACUUGGUGAAUUCAGGUCUCCUUCCCUUUUGCACACCUAAGCACACCUGAGUAAUUCACUCUAAGUAUGAAUGUAAAUUUCCUCAGCAAAGGUUAACUAACCCUUAGGGUAGCUUUCCUUUGUCUCAGAACAUAUAGUUAACAAGGGACCACAGAGGUGAUGAUCUAUUUGGUCUGUUUGAAGCCCCUUGUAGAUGUAAUUCUCCAAUAGGUGUCAUUCAGGUCUUUUCCAGAGGCCUCCGCAAGAGCAGGGGCUGGUAGAAUAAGCUGCUGUUUGAGCUCUAACUUUUUGGGGGCACUUCUCUUUUCCACUUAUAAAAUAGUGAAAGAUGCAUACUCAAAAUUGCUGUAACAAUUAAAUAAAAUAAUGAACAACUUAGCAUAGUGCUUGGCACCAAGUAAACACUCAAUCAGUGGAGAUUUUUUUCCAUUAUAUUUAUUAUUCUUAAUUUUUAUUGAAUCAGGCCACACCAUUGCAGGGAAAUUCUGACUUAGAAAGCGCUUCAUUACAUUGGAUCCAAAUUUCCUUCUCCAUGGCUUCAACCCAUGGGUCUGAGACUUGCCCUCCGGGCUCUGCAUAAGAUAGUUCCGUUUCUCAAAACCAAUGGCGACUGGGUUAUUCUGACCACCUUCCUGCACCCAUUGCCAGAAUAAUCCCUAGUUUCUCCAACCAGACUUCCUAUGAUCUUUGAAAGCUAAGUUCAGUUUCCCAAAUUGAGAUGCAAAUUCAGUAAGAACCUAGCUCUUGGGUUUCCACUGAAUUUCAAAUGGAGUGAGCUGUUAUCCAGCCUUGUAAUUUGUAGAUGGCAGGUGUUUUCACUCUCAGAAAAUCUAACAUGAUUCACACUGACUUACAGAAGAGAUCAUUCAUGGAGUGAAUUCUCUUUAUACAAGAAUUCUUGCAUACGCAUACACAAAUAUAUGUAUACAUACAUAUGCAUUUCUUUGAAAUAUUAAAUGUCUCUUUUGCUAAGGCACUUAAUAUAAAAUUUUGACUGUUAAAAUUCUAUUUUCAUGUAGCUUUGGAAGAAGAGAGCUUCGAAUAAAAGUAGGAACACAUGCACAGCUUCCUGUAUUCAUCAAGUAUUUAAUGAGCACCACUGUAUACCUUGCACUGGACUAGGUUUUGGGGAGGUCACAGUAAGGAGGAUGUAUUCCCAGUCCUUUUCCCGUUUAGGAAUCUCUCUGCACACUGCACAGAAUUCCCUGUGAAUAACUACACAACAUUCAAUAUGCAGCAUUGGGUAAACAGAAUCAUCUUUUAAAUGUGUGAUGAGAGCUGGUUCCGAUGGGAAAGAGGGAAUAAGCUACAGGGGAUUCCUGGAUUUUUGUGUGUCCCAUGUAUUUUGGAUGCUUAAGCACCUAAAUUAUCAGAAAAUCAGAUAUUCUCGUCUUUUGAAAAGGAGCUAGAAAGACUAUAAGAGGGAAAAAUGACAUUAAAAAAUCAAGCCAUUUAUUGCAAUGUUUUCCUAUUCUGACACAUUUGGAAGCUCUAAAAACAGGGGGAAAAUAUGGGUUAUAAAGACAGUCCAAUUUCGAUCUGAAUCCUAACUUUCCCAGUCACCAACUGGGUGACUCUGGUUGAGUUUUCUCACCUCUAUGAGCUUCCGUUUCACAUUUGUAAGAACAGAAAUAAUAAUGGGAACUUCUCAACAUUGUCGUGAAGAUUCAGUGAGCUAAUACAUGCAAAGCACUGAGAGCAAUGUCUGGCACAGAAAAGGCCCUAAAUAAAAGAAUUCUAACAGUAAAUAUUAUAUUUUCCUAAUACAAUAAAUAAUAGCCUGAUAUUCAUUAACAACAACCUUUUCCUUUUAGCUUCAACCUCUUCAGCUUUAAACCUUUAUUAAGUCUAUUUCUGUUUCUAAACAACCGGUAAACCUCCAUCUUCCUACCAGAAAACUGGCCAUUUGGUCAGCAGAACGAAAGGCUGUGAAAUGAGUCUCUGCAAUAGAUGUGUCCUGAACACGGGGGCCCCUGGAGUCCCACAGCCUCCAGCUCUAGAGGUCACCCCAGGCCGCAGCUGGUGGAGCAAGGGCUCCAGGGGCUUGUGUAGGCUAUGCAGUUCCUGUGCCAUGCCUCCAC